ACCCGACGGAUAUGGAUUCGGAUAUGGAUUUUGAUUGUACCCGACCCGAACCCGAACCCAACCCGAACCCGAAUUUAUUUUGUAUUAUAUAUAAUAUAUAUAUAAAAAUUUGAUAUUAUAUUUGAAUUUGUAUUUUAAAAAUUUAGGUUUAAUAUAAUAUAUUUUGAAAUAUUGAAAAAAAAAAUAAUUGUCUCGGGUUCAAAUUUUCGGGUUCAGGUUCGGGUUCGGGUUUCGGAUUUUUGGUCGGAUUCGGGUUUGGAUAUGAAUUUUUAAAAUCCGUCGGGUUCGGAUCUCAGGUUUGGAGUCGGGUUCGGAUUCAGAUUUUUAAAAAUUCGCCCCGAAUCCAACCCGUUGAUAUCUCUAAAAAGGGAGGAAUUCUACACGGUCACACUUGCACCACGUCAUCAAUAACAAGCCAAUCACAUUCCUUCUUUUCAAACAAAAGUACAAUAAAAAUAUUUUUUUACAAUCAUGAUGGGACAUAUAUUCUUAAAAUGAUUAAUUUGAUUGAUUUGUUACGCCACGUCACUAAUAUACCCGUUGCAUUCUAAAAUUUUUCCUCUUGUAGAUCUCAUGUUUGAAACCAUCAUGUCAUUUGUAAACUCACCAUUUAAUGCUCCUUCACUCGCUGGCUCUUUUAGUUUACCUACCAAUUGAACAUGUCUCUCAACCCACAAAAAAGGGCUCCCGAAAUUUUCUCUGCUUUGAAAUUUUGGCGGUCCAUAAUUUUGACUUCGUUUUGUUUUUAGUUCGUGAUUCUUCAGCUACCCCCUUUUCUUGCUUACGAACGUGGACUAGGACGAAAAAUUCUAGAAUGCAACGGGUAUAUUAGUGACGUGGCAUAACAAAUCAAUUAAAUUAAUUCUUUUAAGAAUAUAUGUCCCAUCAUGAUUGUAAAAAAAUAUUUUUAUUGUACUUUUGUUUGAAAAGAAGGAAUGUGACUGGCUUGUUAUUGAUGACGUGGUGCAAGUGUGACCGUGUAGAAUUCCUCCCUUUUUAGAGAUAUCAACGGGUUGGAUUCGGGGCGAAUUUUUAAAAAUCUGAAUCCGAACCCGACUCCAAACCUGAGAUCCGAACCCGACGGAUUUUAAAAAUUCAUAUCCAAACCCGAAUCCGACCAAAAAUCCGAAACCCGAACCCGAACCUGAACCCGAAAAUUUGAACCCGAGACAAUUAUUUUUUUUUUCAAUAUUUCAAAAUAUAUUAUAUUAAACCUAAAUUUUUAAAAUACAAAUUCAAAUAUAAUAUCAAAUUUUUAUAUAUAUAUUAUAUAUAAUACAAAAUAAAUUCGGGUUCGGGUUGGGUUCGGGUUCGGGUCGGGUACAAUCAAAAUCCAUAUCCGAAUCCAUAUCCGUCGGGUUUAUAUUUUUGAUAUUCAUAUCCGAAUCCAUAUCCAUAUCUAUCGAAUAUAUCCGUUUCAUUCGAGUUCGGGUUUGGAUAAAAUUUCUGGUAUCCAUACCCAUUGACAUCCCUACUCCUUUUAUUGAAGAGAUAAUAUAUAAAAUAACUUUCAAAAUAUUUAAAAUAUUUUAUAUACUUUUUUUUAUUUCAAAUUAUAGUUCUUGUAUAUU
rnacentral:lncRNA from 1 species